AGGGUUUGAUCCUGGCUCAGGAUGAACGCUAGCUACAGGCUUAACACAUGCAAGUCGAGGGGCAGCAUGGUCUUAGCUUGCUAAGGCCGAUGGCGACCGGCGCACGGGUGAGUAACACGUAUCCGACCUGCCGUCUACUCUUGGACAGCCUUCUGAAAGGAAGAUUAAUACAAGAUGGCAUCAUGAGUCCGCAUGUUCACAUGAUUAAAGGUAUUCCGGUAGACGAUGGGGAUGCGUUCCAUUAGAUAGUAGGCGGGGUAACGGCCCACCUAGUCUUCGAUGGAUAGGGGUUCUGAGAGGAAGGUCCCCCACAUUGGAACUGAGACACGGUCCAAACUCCUACGGGAGGCAGCAGUGAGGAAUAUUGGUCAAUGGGCGAGAGCCUGAACCAGCCAAGUAGCGUGAAGGAUGACUGCCCUAUGGGUUGUAAACUUCUUUUAUAAAGGAAUAAAGUCGGGUAUGGAUACCCGUUUGCAUGUACUUUAUGAAUAAGGAUCGGCUAACUCCGUGCCAGCAGCCGCGGUAAUACGGAGGAUCCGAGCGUUAUCCGGAUUUAUUGGGUUUAAAGGGAGCGUAGAUGGAUGUUUAAGUCAGUUGUGAAAGUUUGCGGCUCAACCGUAAAAUUGCAGUUGAUACUGGAUAUCUUGAGUGCAGUUGAGGCAGGCGGAAUUCGUGGUGUAGCGGUGAAAUGCUUAGAUAUCACGAAGAACUCCGAUUGCGAAGGCAGCCUGCUAAGCUGCAACUGACAUUGAGGCUCGAAAGUGUGGGUAUCAAACAGGAUUAGAUACCCUGGUAGUCCACACGGUAAACGAUGAAUACUCGCUGUUUGCGAUAUACAGCAAGCGGCCAAGCGAAAGCG
rnacentral:rRNA from 1 species